rnacentral:tRNA from 1 species
GGAGAUGUAGCACAGCCGGUCUAUGCGUUGGACUGAAAAUCCAAAGAAACAGGUUCGACUCCUGUCGUCUCCACCA